ACACAAACAGAACUUACGUUUUCCUUUCUUUUUCUAGCACGGUACAAUUGGUAAAUUGCUAAAAGGAAAAGCAAAUCUGUACAAACACCGCAGAUGUCCCAUGAAUCUAGUACAAUUAGCACAUACAGAUUGAUGCUUAACCCUCUGGCACCUGUGCAUGACUAUAAUUCCCAUGCCAUAAUGCUUCUUUGUGCAUGUUCAUAUGCAUGAAAACCAUUGACCAAAGAAAUUCUCAUUAUAUGCAAGUUUAAAGCACAUCUGUUACUUUUCUGAUAGCAUGCCAACAGUGUUCAGUGGUGUUCAAAGCACUGGGAAAAGGUGUGGUACCUGCCUUGAAGAGUUUACACAUCUAAGGAUAUGAUUCUGCAAAGGGGAGCUGUAAAUACGGAUCCUUAUUCCUGGGAUGCUGUGCAAGUGUACGGGUCCAUGCUUGUUGGUCAACAGUAUAAAUGACAAAACUGUGCUAGAUCUACUGUGAGCUAGAUUGUAAUUUUAGGCACAACCCUGGGAAAGAGGGUGGAGGGGUGUAAAUUGUAUCAUCCCAGGAGAAGCCCCAGCAAGUGGUCUGACUCAGAGGUACCUUCCUACCGUUCUUCUCAUGCCAGGGGUGUACUGAGUGUGGGAAGGCAUUGUUAACUGAUGGACUAACGCUCUGUCCCUGGUCCUCUGCUGCCCCAGGAACUGCUCAGACCCAUUUUUUUUUAAUGUACACUUUAUAUUCUACUCUAAACCCUUCCCCACACAACAGUACAAUGCAGCAUCACAGUUGUAAAUGACUAGAUCUUUCAGCGCCUCUUUACUAGGGCUGAAAAGAAAUCUCCCUUUCUAAAGAGAGCUAUCUCUGGCUUAGCUUGGCUCCCUCUCCCAUAGCACUUUUUGGCUUUUAUCAGGUUAACCAGUUUCAGAUCCUCAGAAGUAAAAACACCCAUGCGAACUGGAGAUGUUAGAAAAUGACCUUUUUUAUUUCUCCCCAGGUGCCUCGUUAAAUUGUUUUGAAUAAUUAAUGUGAUGAUUUGCAUGGACUGCAGGGUGUGAGACAGCAAAUAGUGAUGUGUAAGGGGCUUCCCAAUUUAUUGAAGUUAUAUGAAAUCAUCCGGUUUUGCAAAGUGUAGAAGAUGCAAAGAACUCUACAAAGAGAUGGGGUUCCAGUGGUGGGAACAUGGUGCACAGCCAGAGCUAUGAACUUGAAAGAACAAGCACGGAGCAUAAAGUGGGCCUACAUAUUGGAAGCAGUGUUGGUCAUCCUGUGAAGAGGAAGACUGAACAAAGGUUUCCUGCCCUGGGAAAAAGUCUAUAAAGAAUGGAAAACAAUCAGCUCUUUGCCUUCAUCUGGUCUUUGAAACUGCCUCGCCUACCUUAAGAGGAGACAAAUGAAAACAAAGGACUCUAAAGAACACUGGGGAAAACUGUAGACCCAAUCCAGAGUAAAGAUCAGCUCUGACUUGCAACAUUUUACCUGAAGGGGAAAAAACUGUUUAAGGUACAGACAAUCCAAAAGCAAAAACAAAUUGUCCAGAGGAGAAACUGACUGAUGUUUUCAAGACAUUGCCCUGCAAUAUUCCCUGCGAAUUCACAGAGCAUGGGCACUUUACCAGUGGUUCCCAACCGUUUUUAUACCGUGGACCGGCAAACUCGUUCACAAACUUUUGGUGGACUGGUAACAUUUUAUUUGAAUAUUUGAAUAUUCAUUAUGGUAAUUCACUUUAAGAGGUUACCUGUUAUUUUAUAUUGCAUCUGUAUGCAUACAAUACAUGUCUUUGUAACUGAACAGGCUACGUCUAGACUGGCAU